UUCACUGUAGCGCAAUGGAUAGCGCGUUGGACUUCUAAUCCAAAGGUAGUGGAUAAUUUUACCUCGGCCCGCUGGGGGAGGGGAAG